GUUACUUUGGCCGAGUGGUUAAGGCGUGUGCCUGCUAAGUACAUCGGGUUUCCCCGUGAGAGUUCGAAUCUCUCAGGCAACG
rfam:Ipomoea nil DNA, scaffold: scaffold1525, cultivar: Tokyo-kokei standard.